UUCGCAAUGGGGGAAACCCUGACGCAGCAACGCCGCGUGGAGGAUGAAGACCCUUGGGGCGUAAUCUCCUUUCGACCAAGACGAUAAUGACGGUACUGGUGGAAGAAGCACCGGCUAACUCU
rnacentral:rRNA from 1 species